rnacentral:rRNA from 1 species
GUCGAGAAUCUUCCGCAAUGCGCGCAAGCGUGACGGAGCGACGCCGCGUGGGCGAUGAAGGCCUUCGGGUUGUAAAGCCCUGUCAGCUACCAUGAAUGGCGGGCGGUGAAUAACUGUCCCGCUUGACGUAAGUAGCAGAGGAAGCACCGGCUAACUACGUGCCAGCAGCCGCGGUAAUACGUAGGGUGCAAACGUUGUUCGGAAUCACUGGGCAUAAAGGGCGCGUAGGCGGUAUGGCAAGUCAGGUGUGAAAUCCCCCGGCUUAACCGGGGAACUGCAUUUGAUACUGCUGUGCUAGAGUGCAGGAGGGGAGAGCGGAAUUCCAGGUGUAGCGGUGAAAUGCGUAGAUAUCUGGAGGAACGCCGGUGGCGAAAGCGGCUCUCUGGCCUGUUACUGACGCUGAGGCGCGAAAGCUAGGGGAGCAAACGGGAUUAGAUACCCGUGUAGUCC